CUCGCCUGCCUACGCCGCGAAUCCUGCCGCUACCGCACGCCCGCCCGCGAGAACCGCCUCCGCAACACCCUUCCCCAAACCCAUUCUCCCCACGCGCGGCGCCUCCGCAACAGCAACCGCCGCGCCCGAGCCCAAACCCAAACCCAACCAUGGCGUGCAUGCCGGCUGUGUCUGCCCCCUCCGUCCUCGCGCCGGCCCCGGCGUCGACCCGCACCCACCUCUGCUACUCAACGGAAAUGCGACGCGGCGCGCUCUCCCUCCGUCCCGCCCGCGCUAUCCCCACGUUGAGGCUCGGCGGCCACCGCGACGCCCGUGGCGCUGUCGUCGUCCGCGCCACUGUGGCAGAGGUAUUUGUGGCUACGGGCACCUACAGCGCUCCCCGAGGCCAAGCGCGUUGUGACAGACUGCCGGUGUUUCGCUGCAGGGAGCCGUGGAGCUGCAGGCCAAGGUGACGAGCAAGUGCUUCUUCGACGUGGAGGUCGGCGGGGAGCCUGCGGGCCGCAUCGUCAUCGGGCUCUUCGGAGAGGUCGUACCUAAGACCGUCGACAACUUCCGUGCGCUCUGCACUGGUGAGAAAGGGUACGGCUACAAGGGCUGCUCCUUCCACCGGAUCAUCAAGGACUUUAUGAUUCAAGGCGGGGACUUCCAGCAAAACAAUG